UAUAUUAUUUAUCAUCUAAUAUUAUUUGCAGCAGAUAGGUCCCCGUCCAUAAGACUGGUGCCGUGCCCGAUUGUUGUGCACCCUUGUACCACCCACAGGGGUGUCGUUUAUCGAUCACAUUCACCGAAAUAAACAACCUCACACCCCA